AAGAGCAGCCAGUUGAGCUUUCACCACCUGGCUCCUCCACCACCAUCCUGUUGGACUGCCAGUCAUUCAACACCCUCGGCUCCUCCACUGCCUUCCUGUUAGACUGCUGGGCCCUUCACACACUUAACUCCUCAACUGCCCUGCAGGUGGACUGACUGGCCCUGACUGUCCUAGGCUCCUACACUACCCAACAGUUGAACUGGCUGGCAACUCACCACCCUCAGGUCCUCCACCACCCUCUGGUUGGACAGGUCUUUCACCAUCCUCAACAACUCCACCGCCAUUCAGAUGGGAUGGAAAGCCAAACAUCGCCCUCAGUUGGAAUGCCGGACCGAUCAUCACCAUUCCAACUGGAGGUCAGUGCAGGAACCAAGGUGGAGAAGGUAGCCAAGGGUAGUAAAGGGCUAGGCAGUCCACCACUA